CUCCCAACCAAAUUAUUGGAAUGGGAGUCAUCCAUUCCAAUUUCGAUUCCAGACCCCCACUCCUCCCAACUAAAUACUCUCUUAAUAUAUUUGAUUGAUCAUAAAAAAAUAGAAUAAGAAACCACUUUUCGAAAUGACUUAUAUUUAGUGGAGCAUUUUUUUUUAAAUAUUAUAUAAAAUAUCUUUUAUGCCUUUAAGAAAUUGAUUGUGCUG
rnacentral:lncRNA from 1 species